ensembl:lncRNA
GUGAGGAAUAUGAAGUUGAGAAAGGGGUGGUGCUGGAGGUGAGGAAUAUGAAGUUGAGAAAGGGGUGGUGCUGGAGGUGAGGAAUAUGAAGUUGAGAAAGGGGUGGUGCUGGAGAUGAGGGAUAUGAAGUUGAGAAAGGGGUGGUGCUGGAGGUGAGGAAUAUGAAGUUGAGAAAGGGGUGGUGCUGGAGGUGAGGAAUAUGAAGUUGAGAAAGGGGUGGUGCUGGAGGUGAGGAAUGAAGUUGAGAAAGGGGUGGUGCUGGAGGUGAGGGAUAUGAAGUUGAGAAAGGGGUGGUGCUGGAGGUGAGGAAUAUGAAGUUGAGAAAGGGGUGGUGCUGGAGGUGAGGAAUAUGAAGUUGAGAAAGGGGUGGUGCUGGAGAUGAGGAAUAUGAAGUUGAGAAAGGGGUGGUGCUGGAGGUGAGGAAUAUGAAGUUGAGAAAGGGGUGGUGCUGGAGGUGAGGAAUAUGAAGUUGAGAAAGGGGUGGUGCUGGAGGUGAGGGAUAUGAAGUUGAGAAAGGGGUGGUGCUGGAGGUGAGGGAUAUGAAGUUGAGAAAGGGGGAAAUGUCCUUUUAAUAUAUUGAUUUUGAACAACACCUGGAUACCUUGGC